GGCCUGAUGGUCUAGUAGUAUGAUUCCUUGUUAGGGUGCUUAGUCAUCAAAUCGAGGAGGUCCCGGGUUCAAUUCCCGGUCAGGCCC
rnacentral:tRNA from 1 species